rnacentral:rRNA from 1 species
AGUGAACGCUGGCGGUAGGCCUAACACAUGCAAGUCGAACGGCAGCACAGUAAGAGCUUGCUCUUACGGGUGGCGAGUGGCGGACGGGUGAGGAAUACAUCGGAAUCUACUUUUUCGUGGGGGAUAACGUAGGGAAACUUACGCUAAUACCGCAUACGACCUACGGGUGAAAGCAGGGGAUCUUCGGACCUUGCGCGAUUGAAUGAGACGAUGUCGGAUUAGCUAGUUGGCGGGGUAAAGGCCCACCAAGGCGACGAUCCGUAGCUGGUCUGAGAGGAUGAUCACCCACACUGGAACGGAGACAGGGUCCAGACGCCUACGGGAGGCAGCAGUGGGGAAUAUUGGACAAUGGGCGCAAGCCUGAUCCAGCCAUACCGCGUGUGUGAAGAAGGCCUUCGGGUUGUAAAGCCCUUUUGUUGGGAAAGAAAAGCAGCAGGUUAAUACCCCGCUGUUCUGACGGUACCCAAAGAAUAAGCACCGGCUAACUUCGUG